UCCCCAGUGGCUCAGCAGUAAAGAAUCUGCCUGCAAUGCAGGAGACCCAGGUUUGGCUCCUGGGUUGGGAA
rnacentral:tRNA from 1 species